CCUACGGGGGGCAGCAGUCGAGAAUUAUUCACAAUGGGGGAAACCCUGAUGGUGCGACGCCGCGUGGGGGAAUGAAGGUCUUCGGAUUGUAAACCCCUGUCAUGUGGGAGCAAAUUAAAAAGAUAGUACCACAAGAGGAAGAGACGGCUAACUCUGUGCCAGCAGCCGCGGUAAUACAGAGGUCUCAAGCGUUGUUCGGAAGCACUGGGCGUAAAGCGUGCGUAGGCUGUUUCGUAAGUCGUGUGUGAAAGGCGCGGGCUCAACCCGCGGACGGCACAUGAUACUGCGAGACUAGAGUAAGGGAGGGGGAACCGGAAUUCUCGGUGUAGCAGUGAAAUGCGUAGAUAUCGAGAGGAACACUCGUGGCGAAGGCGGGUUCCUGGACAUUAACUGACGCUGAGGCACGAAGGCCAGGGGAGCGAAAGGGAUUAGAUACCCCUGUAGUC
rnacentral:rRNA from 1 species